UACAGAGGUCGUCAAGCGUUGGUUUCGGAUUCAGUUGGGCGUAAAGGGUGGCGUAAGGCGGCGCGGUAAGUCGGGGUGUGGAAAUCAUUGGAGCUUAACUCCGAAACUGCAUUCGAUACUGCCGUGCUUGAGGACUGGAGAGGAGACUGGAAUUUACGGUGUAGCGGUGAAAUGCGUAGAUAUCGUAAGGAAGACCAGUGGCGAAGGCGGGUCUCUGGACAGUUCCUGACGCUGAGGCACG
rnacentral:rRNA from 1 species